UACGUAGGGUGCAAGCGUUGUCCGGAUUUAUUGGGCGUAAAGAGCUCGUAGGCGGUUUAGCAAGUCGGGUGUGAAAACUUCAGGCUCAACCUGGAGAUGCCACUCGAGACUGCUAUGACUUGAGUCUGGUAGGGGAGCACGGAAUUCCUGGUGUAGCGGUGAAAUGCGCAGAUAUCAGGAGGAACACCGGUGGCGAAGGCGGUGCUCUGGGCCAGUACUGACGCUGAGGAGCGAAAGCGUGGGGAGCAAACAGG
rnacentral:rRNA from 1 species